UCGGUGUUUAAGUCUUCUGGAAAGGAGCGCCAUGGAGGGUGAUAGCCCCGUGAAACACUAACCCCAUUGUAGGAUCUUGGCGUGGAGUCGAGUUGUUUGGGAAUGCAGCUCAAAUGGGUGGUAUGCUCCAUCUAAAGCUAAAUAUCUGCGAGAGACCGAUAGCGAACAAGUACUGUGAAGGAAAGAUGAAAAGAACUUUGAAAAGAGAGUGAAAAAGUACGUGAAAUUGUUGAAAUGGAAGGGUAGGCCGCUAACCACGUAGAGCCGUGUCUAGGGGGAGGAUAAAAGCUGUAGAAUGUGGCUCUUCGGAGUGUUAUAGCUACAGUUCAUACUCCCACCCGGGCGCGAGGAUCUAAGGCUCUACU
rnacentral:rRNA from 1 species